rfam:Prunus persica cultivar Lovell chromosome G5, whole genome shotgun sequence.
GAUUUACACUUGAUCUCUGAACUUCAGGUAAGUUCUAGUGUUGACAAGUUAUUAACUGAUGCU